GAUGAAGAACGUAGUGAAAUGCGAUAAGUAAUGUGAAUUGCAGAAUUCAGUGAAUCAUCGGAUCUUUGAACGCACAUUGCGCCCCCUGGUAUUCCGGGGGGCAUGCCUGUCCGAGCGUCAUUACAACCCUCAAGCUCAGCUUGGUGUUGGGCCCCGCCGCCCCGGCGGGCCCUAAAGUCAGUGGCGGUGCCGUCCGGCUCCGAGCGUAGUAAUUCUUCUCGCUCUGGAGGUCCGGUCGUGUGCUCGCCAGCAACCCCCAAUUUUUUUCAGGUUGACCUCGGAUCAGGUAGGGAUACCCGCUGAACUUAAGCAUAUCAAAAGCGGAGGA
rnacentral:misc_RNA from 1 species